rnacentral:rRNA from 1 species
GUAGGGAAUUUUCCACAAUGGACGAAAGUCUGAUGGAGCAACGCCGCGUGAACGAUGAAGGUCUUCGGAUUGUAAAGUUCUGUUGUCAGGGACGAAUAAGUACCGUUCGAACAGGGCGGUACCUUGACGGUACCUGACGAGAAAGCCACGGCUAACUACGUGCCAGCAGCCGCGGUAAUACGUAGGUGGCAAGCGUUGUCCGGAAUUAUUGGGCGUAAAGCGCGCGCAGGCGGCUAUGUAAGUCUGGUGUUAAAGCCCGGGGCUCAACCCCGGUUCGCAUCGGAAACUGUGUAGCUUGAGUGCAGAAGAGGAAAGCGGUAUUCCACGUGUAGCGGUGAAAUGCGUAGAGAUGUGGAGGAACACCAGUGGCGAAGGCGGCUUUCUGGUCUGUAACUGACGCUGAGGCGCGAAAGCGUGGGGAGCAAACAGGAUUAGAUACCCUAGUAGUCC